rnacentral:lncRNA from 1 species
GUAAAACCUCAAAUAUUUUGUUAUGGGACUAAGUAUGCUAGUUGUUUUUUACCGUAGUUGGUCCUGCAAAAUGGAACUCUAAUAUGGUCAUGCCUGAAAUUGUAUUGGGUGUAACUUGAGAGGUUGUUUUGAUAAAAAAUUAGUGAAUUUUUCUCGAGUUCGCCUCUUAUGUAUAUAGCAAGCUUAAG